UACGUAGGGUGCAAGCGUUAAUCGGAAUUACUGGGCGUAAAGCGUGCGCAGGCGGUUUUGUAAGUCUGUCGUGAAAGCCCCGGGCUCAACCUGGGAAUUGCGAUGGAGACUGCAAGGCUUGAAUCUGGCAGAGGGGGGGUAGAAUUCCACGUGUAGCAGUGAAAUGCGUAGAGAUGUGGAGGAACACCGAUGGCGAAGGCAGCCCCCCUGGGUCAAGAUUGACGCUCAUGCACGAAAGCGUGGGGGAGCAAACAGG
rnacentral:rRNA from 1 species